GCCUCUUGGACUGGGACAACUGUUGGAAACGACAGCUAAUACCGGAUAUUAUGAGAUUCUCGCAUGAGAAACUUAUGAAAGCUAUAUGCGCCAAGAGAGAGCCUUGCGUUCCAUUAGCUAGUUGGUGGGGUAACGGCCCACCAAGGCGACGAUGGAUAGCCGGCCUGAGAGGGUGAACGGCCACAAGGGGACUGAGACACGGCCCUUACUCCUACGGGAGGCAGCAGUGGGGAAUAUUGGACAAUGGACCAAAAGUCUGAUCCAGCAAUUCUGUGUGCACGAUGAAGGUCUUCGGAUUGUAAAGUGCUUUCAGUUGGGAAGAAGCAAGUGACGGUACCAACAGAAGAAGCGACGGCUAAAUACGUGCCAGCAGCCGCGGUAAUACGUAUGUCGCAAGCGUUAUCCGGAUUUAUUGGGCGUAAAGCGCGUCUAGGCGGAAAAAUAAGUCUGAUGUUAAAAUGCGGGGCUCAACUCCGUAUUGCGUUGGAAACUGUUUUUCUAGAGUACUGGAGAGGUGGGCGGAACUACAAGUGUAGAGGUGAAAUUCGUAGAUAUUUGUAGGAAUGCCGAUGGAGAAGUCAGCUCACUGGACAGAUACUGACGCUGAAGCGCGAAAGCGUGGGGAGCAAACAGGAUUAGAUACCCUG
rnacentral:rRNA from 1 species